UACGAAGGGGGCUAGCGUUGUUCGGAUUUACUGGGCGUAAAGCGCGCGUAGGCGGAUCGUUAAGUCGGGGGUGAAAUCCUGGAGCUCAACUCCAGAACUGCCUUCGAUACUGGCGAUCUCGAGUCCGGAAGAGGUGAGUGGAACUCCUAGUGUAGAGGUGGAAUUCGUAGAUAUUAGGAAGAACACCAGUGGCGAAGGCGGCUCACUGGUCCGGUACUGACGCUGAGACGCGAAAGCGUGGGGAGCGAACAGG
rnacentral:rRNA from 1 species